GAUGAAGAACGUAGCGAAAUGCGAUAAGUAAUGUGAAUUGCAGAAUUCAGUGAAUCAUCGAAUCUUUGAACGCACAUUGCGCCCGCCAGUAUUCUGGCGGGCAUGCCUGUUCGAGCGUCAUUUCAACCCUCAGGCCCCCAGUGCCUGGUGUUGGGGAUCGGCCCAGCCUUCCUGUAAGGCCGCCGGCCCCGAAAUCUAGUGGCGGUCUCGCUGUAGUCCUCCUCUGCGUAGUAGCACAACCUCGCAGUUGGAACGCGGCGGUGGCCAUGCCGUUAAACACCCCACUUCUGAAAGUUGACCUCGGAUCAGGUAGGAAUACCCGCUGAACUUAAGCAUAUCAAUAACGGAGGA
rnacentral:misc_RNA from 1 species